rnacentral:rRNA from 1 species
CCUACGGGUGGCAGCAGUGAGGAAUAUUGGUCAAUGGGCGCGAGCCUGAACCAGCCAAGUCGCGUGAGGGAUGAAGGUUCUAUGGAUCGUAAACCUCUUUUAUAAGGGAAUAAAGUGUGGGACGUGUCCUAUUUUGUAUGUACCUUAUGAAUAAGGAUCGGCUAACUCCGUGCCAGCAGCCGCGGUAAUACGGAGGAUCCGAGCGUUAUCCGGAUUUAUUGGGUUUAAAGGGUGCGUAGGCGGCCUUUUAAGUCAGCAGUGCAAGUCUGUGGCUCCACCAUAGAAUUGCCGUUGAAACUGGGGGGCUUGAGUAUGUUUGAGGCAGGCGGACUGCGUGGUGUAGCGGUGAACUGCUUAGAUCUCACGCAGAACCCCGAUUGCGACGGCAGCCUGCCAGGCCAUGACUGCCGCUGAUGCACGAAAGCGUGGGGAUCAAACAGGAUUAGAUACCCGGGUAGUC